CCGGGUGUAGCGCAGUUGGUAGCGUGCUUGCUUCGGGAGCAAGAGGCCAUGGGUUCGAAUCCCGUCACUCGGACCA
rnacentral:tRNA from 1 species